rnacentral:lncRNA from 1 species
UUGCUGAGGCUGGCUUUGAACCUGUGAUCCUCCUGCCUCAGCCUCCUGAGCUGCUGGGAUUACAGGCUACAGGUGUGCCACCACCUGGCAAUUCACUGUAUUUCCUUUUCUAUGAAUGUACAGCUCACAUACUUUAGUUUUCUCCUAAGGUUUUCCAUUGGGAUUUCUGUAGAACCCUUCACGUAUCAAAGAAAUUAGCCUCGGGCUGCUGGGCACUGUGGUGUUUUUCUCAGGUGGUCUUUUGACUACGCACCAUUUUUUUCUUACUAUUAACAUUUCUGGGCUUUUUACCUGAUGACUUUAUGUUUUGUGUCUUUGAUUGGAAAGGCUUUGCUGCUUGAAGAUUCUAGAAAUAUCCCUCCUUUUAUCUAGUGAUCAGAUUUCAUUUAUUUUACAUUUAAACCUUGGAUCUGUAGGGGUCUGGGAGUCGGGAAGGGGGCAGACAAACAGCUCUGGUUUUGUUUUCAGGAUGGAGAGCUGGCAGCCCCACUACCACCAUUUCCCCACUCAUUUGGAGCCUUAUGUUUACAACAUACAAAAAUACCAUUCAUAUGGUUUUCGACCUUUUGGGUGCUCCCGUCUGAUCCCCGGAAGCACCUUUCUAGCUAUGUACAUCACAUCACUGUUUUAAAAUCUGG